AGUGAACGCUGCGGUCGGCCUCACCCCUGCAAGUCGCACGGCAGCACAGUAAGAGCUUGCUCUUACGGGUGGCGAGUGGCGGACGGGUGAGGAAUACAUCGGAAUCUACUUUUUCGUGGGGGAUAACGUAGGGAAACUUACGCUAAUACCGCAUACGACCUACGGGUGAAAGCAGGGGAUCUUCGGACCUUGCGCGAUUGAAUGAGCCGAUGUCGGAUUAGCUAGUUGGCGGGGUAAAGGCCCACCAAGGCGACGAUCCGUAGCUGGUCUGAGAGGAUGAGCGGCCAAACUGAACCUGAGAACCGGUCCAGCCUCCUACGGGAGGCAGCAGUGGGGAAUAUUGGAAAAUGGGCGAAAGCCUGAUCCAGCCAGACCGCGUGGGUGAAGAAGGCCCUCGGGCUGUAAAGCCCUUUUGUUGGGAAAGAAAAGCAGCAGGUUAAUACCCCGCUGUUCUGACGGGACCCAAAGAAUAAGCACCGGCUAACUUCGU
rnacentral:rRNA from 1 species